GAUUAGAGUAUCUCUUAAAGAGUUAAACAAAACAAAAAAAAUUCUGCUAUAGGAAUAAAGAUCAACUCACUGGAGCUUCAUCAUUAUUUUUAUUUGAUGAAAGUUCACGAGUGAAAUAGCUAGUACAACAGUGAAUGUGAAAUACUCAAACUGAAAACGAGAUCGCGAACAGGACCGUCAACUUCGAACAGAAUCGUCGGCACGAUCUCGACUCAAAGAAACUGAUGAGGGGCAGCGCAUAUGUGCUUUUGGGAGGCAGAUCGUGACUGGUUCCAUGACUGUUCGUGCUGUAUUUUUUAGGAGUUCAUGACUGAAUUUGGGGCUGGACUUUGGUGGUGUUUAAUGGAGGAAAAUGGGAGGAGUUGUGGUUGCCUUCAACUGAACUUUUACGAAGAGGGGGGAGUUAUUUAUCUGAUUUAGAUGGCUAAAGCAGUGAACAUUUGGAU
rnacentral:lncRNA from 1 species